rnacentral:rRNA from 1 species
AACGAACGCUGGCGGCAUGCCUAACACAUGCAAGUCGAACGAGACCUUCGGGUCUAGUGGCGCACGGGUGCGUAACGCGUGGGAACCUGCCCUUAGGUUCGGAAUAACUCCCCGAAAGGGGUGCUAAUACCGGAUAAUGUCUUCGGACCAAAGAUUUAUCGCCUUUGGAUGGGCCCGCGUUGGAUUAGCUAGUUGGUAGGGUAAAAGCCUACCAAGGCGACGAUCCAUAGCUGGUCUGAGAGGAUGAUCAGCCACACUGGGACUGAGACACGGCCCAGACUCCUACGGGAGGCAGCAGUGGGGAAUAUUGGACAAGGGGCGAAAGCCUGAACCAGCAAUGCCGCGUGAGUGAUGAAGGACUUAGGGUUGUAAAGCUAUUUUACCCGGGAUGAUAAUGACAGUACCGGGAGAAUAAGCUCCGGCUAACUCCGUG